AUGCUUUCACAACUUGACUUCAAAAUAUUUGGUUUGGAGACCAUCAAAGAUCAAUAUGUGCAUGAUGCUGAUUUUAAAGAUGUAAUGCAGAAUUGUAAAGAAGGAAGAAUGUGGAACAAGUUUGUCGUUAACGAUGGAUUUGUGUUUCGUGCUAACAAGCUAUGCAUUCCAGCUAGCUCCGUUCGUCUUUUGUUGUUGCAGGAGGCGCAUGGAGGAGGAUUAAUGGGACACUUUGGCGUGAAGAAGACGGAGGACGUACUUGCUACACAUUUCUUUUGGCCAAAGAUGAGACGGGAUGUUGAGCGUUUUAUUGCUCGCUGCACUACAUGUCAAAAAGCUAAGUCACGACUCAAUCCUCAUGGUUUAUAUAUGCCUUUGCCUAUACCUAGUGUUCCUUGGGAGGAUAUAUCUAUGGACUUUGUUUUAGGUUUACCUCGAACAAAGAAGGGGAGGGAUAGCAUAUUUGUUGUCGUGGAUAGAUUCUCGAAAAUGGCACACUUUAUACCAUGUCAUAAAAGUGAUGAUGCUGUUAAUGUUGCUGAUUUGUUCUUUCGUGAAAUUAUUCGCUUGCAUGGUGUGCCAAAUACUAUUGUUUCAGAUCGUGAUACUAAAUUUCUUAGCCACUUUUGGAGAUGUUUAUGGGCUAAGUUGGGGACUAAACUGCUUUUUAGUACUACUUGUCACCCCCAAACUGAUGGACAAACUGAAGUAGUCAAUAGAACGUUGUCUACUAUGCUUAGGGCUGUUUUGAAGAAUAAUAAGAAAAUGUGGGAGGAAUGCUUGCCUCAUAUUGAAUUUGCUUAUAAUCGUUCAUUGCAUUCUACUAGUAAGAUGUGCCCUUUUGAAGUUGUGUAUGGUUUCCUACCUCGUGCACCUAUUGAUUUGUUGCCUCUUCCAUCUUCGGAGAAGGUUAAUUUUGAUGCUAAACAACGUGCUGAAUUGAUUUUAAAAAUGCAUGAGUUAACUAAGGAAAACAUUGAGCGUAUGAAUGCUAAAUAUAAACUUGCUGGAGAUAAGGGUAGAAAACAUGUUGUGUUUGCACCUGGAGAUCUUGUUUGGUUACAUUUGCGUAAGGAUAGAUUCCCAGAUUUGCGCAAAUCAAAGUUAAUGCCACGUGCUGAUGGUCCCUUUAAGGUGUUAGAGAAAAUAAAUGAUAAUGCAUAUAAACUUGAGCUGCCUGCAGAUUUUGGGGUUAGUCCCACUUUUAACAUUGCAGAUUUGAAGCCUUAUUUGGGUGAGGAAGAUGGACUUCCGUCGAGGACGACUUUAUUUCAAGAAGGGGAGGAUGAUGAGGACAUCAAUACAAUUGUUACACCCACAGCCCCUGCUGCUAUAAAUACUGGACCAAUUACUAGAGCUCGCGCACGCCAACUAAAUUACCAGGUACUUUCGUUUCUUGGUAAUGAUUCUAAUGUUCAUGAGAAUAUGAUGCUGCCUAAAUUGGAUACAUUUGUUUUGCUUACAAAUGAAGGGCCUAGCUUGGAGAAGGAUGAACAUUGGAUUAAGAACAAGCAUGGAGAUGAUGGCAUGCGCAAGGGGAACAAGAACGGAGUUACAAGUGAUGAUUUCAGGACUUUGAAGCCACCAUAA
rnacentral:rRNA from 1 species